AACGAACGCUGGCGGCAUGCCUAACACAUGCAAGUCGAACGAGAUCUUCGGGUCUAGUGGCGCACGGGUGCGUAACGCGUGGGAACCUGCCCUUUGGUUCGGAAUAACAGUUGGAGACGACUGCUAAUACCGGAUGAUGACGAAAGUCCAAAGAUUUAUCGCCAGAGGAUGAGCCCGCGUAGGAUUAGCUAGUUGGUGUGGUAAAGGCGCACCAAGGCGACGAUCCUUAGUUGGUCUGAGAGGAUGAUCAGCCACACUGGGACUGAGACACGGCCCAGACUCCUACGGGAGGCAGCAGUGGGGAAUAUUGGACGAUGGGCGAAAGCCUGAUCCAGCAAUGCCGCGUGAGUGAUGAAGGCCUUAGGGUUGUAAAGCUCUUUUACCCGGGAUGAUAAUGACAGUACCGGGAGAAUAAGCUCCGGCUAACUCCGUGCCAGCCGCCGCCGUAA
rnacentral:rRNA from 1 species